rnacentral:misc_RNA from 1 species
UACGUAGGACCCAAGCGUUAUCCGGAGUGACUGGGCGUAAAGAGUUGCGUAGGCGGCUCGUUAAGUGAGUAGUGAAACCUGGUGGCUCAACCAUUCAGACUAUUACUCAAACUGGCGUGCUCGAGAAUGGUAGAGGUAGCUGGAAUUUCGUGUGUAGGAGUGAAAUCCGUAGAUAUACGAAGGAACACCAAUGGCGUAGGCAGGCUACUGGACCAUUUCUGACGCUGAGGCACGAAAGCGUGGGGAGCGAACCGG